rnacentral:rRNA from 1 species
UACAGGGGGGGCAAGCGUUGUUCGGAAUUACUGGGCGUAAAGGGCCAGUAGGCGGCCAACUAAGUCCGACGUGAAAUCCCAAAGCUUAACUUUGGAACUGCGUCGGAUACUGGAUGGCUUGAAUUCGGGAGAGGGAUGCAGAAUUCCUGGUGUAGCGGUGAAAUGCGCAGAUAUCAGGAGGAACACCGGUGGCGAAGGCGGGUCUCUGGGCCGAUACUGACGCUGAGGAGCGAAAGCGUGGGGAGCGAACAGG